AUCCGGGUUGCGGACAGUGUCUGGUGGGUAGUUUGACUGGGGCGGUCUCCUCCCAAAGAGUAACGGAGGAGCACGAAGGUUGGCUAAUCCUGGUCGGACAUCAGGAGGUUAGUGCAAUGGCAUAAGCCAGCUUGACUGCGAGAGUGACGGCUCGAGCAGGUGCGAAAGCAGGUCAUAGUGAUCCGGUGGUUCUGAAUGGAAGGGCCAUCGCUCAACGGAUAAAAGGUACUCCGGGGAUAACAGGCUGAUACCGCCCAAGAGUUCAUAUCGACGGCGGUGUUUGGCACCUCGAUGUCGGCUCAUCACAUCCUGGGGCUGAAGUAGGUCCCAAGGGUACGGCUGUUCGCCGUUUAAAGUGGUACGCGAGCUGGGUUUAGAACGUCGUGAGACAGUUCGGUCCCUAUCUGCCGUGGGCGCUGGAGAAUUGAGGGGGGUUGCUCCUAGUACGAGAGGACCGGAGUGAACGCACCACUGGUGUUCGGGUUGUCAUGCCAAUGGCAUUGCCCGGUAGCUAAGUGCGGAAAAGAUAAGUGCUGAAAGCAUCUAAGCACGAAACUUGCCCCGAGAUGAGUUCUCCCUGACUCCCAGAGAGUCCUGAAGGGACGUUGAAGACGACGACGUUGAUAGGCCGGAUGUGUAAGUGCAGCGAUGCAUUGAGCUAACCGGUACUAAUGACCCGUGAGGCUUAACCUU
rnacentral:rRNA from 1 species